rnacentral:rRNA from 1 species
GGCAGCAGUAGGGAAUUUUCGUCAAUGGGCGCAAGCCUGAACGAGCAAUGCCGCGUGAACGAGGAAGGUCUUCGGAUCGUAAAGUUCUGUUGAAGGGGAAAAAGAGCGGAGAGAGGAAAUGCUUUCUGAUUGAUAUUACCCUUCGAGGAAGUCACGGCUAACUACGUGCC